rnacentral:rRNA from 1 species
ACUCAAAGGAAUAGACGGGGGCCCGCACAAGCGGCGGAGCAUGCGGAUUAAUUCGAUGCAACGCGAAGAACCUUACCUGGGUUUGACAUAUACCGGAAAGCCGCAGAGAUGCGGCCCCCGCAAGGUCGGUAUACAGGUGGUGCAUGGCUGUCGUCAGCUCGUGUCGUGAGAUGUUGGGUUAAGUCCCGCAACGAGCGCAACCCUCGUCCUAUGUUGCCAGCGGAUCAUGCCGGGGACUCAUAGGAGACUGCCGGGGUCAACUCGGAGGAAGGUGGGGAUGAGGUCAAGUCAUCAUGCCCCUUAAGUCCAGGGCUUCACGCAUGCUACAAUGGCUGAUACAAAGGGCUGCAAGACCGCAAGGUUAAGCGAAUCCCAAAAAGUCAGUCUCAGUUCGGAUUGGGGUCUGCAACUCGACCCCAUGAAGUCGGAGUCGCUAGUAAUCGCAGAUCAGCAACGCUGCGGUGAAUACGUUCCCGGGCCUUGCACACACCGCCCGU